rnacentral:lncRNA from 1 species
GCCGAGAGCAGAGCAGCGGGGACGUCGUUCGGAGGGCAGCCAAUAUCUGUCACCGUCUUACUGCAGGUCUAGGACAACAAGAGUCACCGACAUGACCGGCCUGAAGACAGCCAUCGCGGUGGGUAUCGUCUUACCAGUGGCGUUACUCUGCGCCGAAGGAGCACCGGCUAAUGGAAUACGCCUACCACCAAGAAAUCGACACAUCACUCCCAUGGAUGGUCUUCGGGUCUUGAAGAAGCGGACAUGCUGGUUCAAUGGUGGCAUGUCGCACUCGUGCGACUACAAGGAGGCGUUGACGGUCGCCAAGGAGACGAACUUCUUGCUCUCCAGCCUGACGCCUGGCAAGCGAAGGCGUGCCGGAGCCGGAGCGCCGCAGAGCGCAGAGUUUGUCGACACCGGCUGAGGUCGCGCCUGCGUGCAUAAAUCGCCAGCAAACCUCUCGAAGCAGGGACACCCGCCCCGCUGGGAUGCUGCGUAAUGAGCAUUUGUGCGAUGCUUCUUUGUGCUGUUGAUGGUCUGCCUACAUGAGGCUAGCAGUCUUCGCUACGCAGUCGUUUUCGUCGUUGCGUGACGCAGUGGACUUGUGAUUUGUCGUCUUUUCUGCUCACAAGCAUCAUCUCUACCGCGCAUUAAGCAUCGUCUCAUGAUGCUAAAUCAGUUGUGCUUAUAUCAAGCUAAGCCAUCUUAUACUUGCUCUGUGCAGAAAUGUGUGUUUCUGAUUUAUUUUCGUUGUCUUGAUUGACACCUCUGCCAGCUAGAUGCUCAUCUAAAACACGACAGGAUGAAGCUGCUACAUCAUCGACAUAUGCUGGUUUUCUGUACCGAUUUUCGGUUUGCGUCGUGCCGCCGUAUUUCAGACUGCACCGUUUGGGGAGCGUGGUGAUAUCUCUCUACCCAAGAAUGGGCACUGAACAUUGUUUGGAUAAUUGACAACCUAUUAACGUGGCGAUCGCAAGACAUUGUUCGACAGAACUUAAUAAAACAUGCAAC